CAGUAGCCGCGGGAAUACGUAGGGUGCGAGCGUUAAUCGGAAUUACUGGGCGUAAAGCGUGCGCAGGCGGUUUUCUAAGACAGGCGUGAAAUCCCCGGGCUCAACCUGGGAAUGGCGCUUGUGACUGCAAAGCUAGAGUGCGGCAGAGGGGGAUGGAACUCCGCGUGUAGCAGUGAAAUGCGUAGAUAUGCGGAGGAACACCGAUGGCGAAGGCAAUCCCCUGGGCCUGCACUGGCGCUCAUGCACGAAAGCGUGGGGAGCAAACAGGAUUAGAUACCCCUGUAGUCCCUGUCUCUUAUAC
rnacentral:rRNA from 1 species